GGCCAAGCACAUUGGUUCAACAGCUGAUCGAUGGGAGCCUGAGGGAUCAAUACUGAUGCAGAUGAUGGUGCUGCUUGCCAUGCAGAGCCUGCACAAGCUGGGACAAACAGGGCACCAUCGAUCGCAGAGACGCAGCAGGGAUGUGCCACCCCCCAGGC